rnacentral:rRNA from 1 species
UACGGGGGGAGCAAGCGUUGUUCGGAUUUACUGGGCGUAAAGGGCGCGUAGGCGGUCGUGACAAGUCACUUGUGAAAUCUCCGGGCUUAACUCGGAACGGUCAAGUGAUACUGUCGGACUAGAGUACAGAAGGGGCAACUGGAAUUCUCGGUGUAGCGGUGAAAUGCGUAGAUAUGCGGAGGAACACCGAUGGCGAAGGCAAUCCCCUGGACCCGUACUGACGCUCAUGCACGAAAGCGUGGGGAGCAAACAGG